UACAGAGGUGGCAAGCGUUGUUCGGAAUUACUGGGCGUAAAGGGCGCGUAGGCGGCCUACUAAGUCAGACGUGAAAUCCCCCGGCUUAACCUGGGAACUGCGUCUGAUACUGGAAGGCUUGAGGAUGGGAGAGGGAUGUAGAAUUCCAGGUGUAGCGGUGAAAUGCGUAGAUAUCUGGAGGAAUACCGGUGGCGAAGGCGGCAUCCUGGACCGGCAUUGACGCUGAGGCGCGAAAGCUAGGGGAGCAAACGGG
rnacentral:rRNA from 1 species